ACCGGCGCACGGGUGAGUAACAGUAUCCAACCUGCCUCAUACUCGGGGAUAGCCUUUCGAAAGAAAGAUUAAUAUCCGAUAGCAUAUAUUUCCCGCAUGGGUUUUAUAUUAAAGAAAUUCGGUAUGAGAUGGGGAUGCGUUCCAAUAGUUUGUUGCGGGGGUAACGGCCCACCAAGACUACGAUGAAUAGGGGUUCUGAGAGGAAGGUCCCCCACAUUGGAACUGAGACACGGUCCAAACUCCUACGGGAGGCAGCAGUGAGGAAUAUUGGUCAAUGGACGCGAGUCUGAACCAGCCAAGUAGCGUGAAGGAUGACUGCCCUAUGGGUUGUAAACUUCUUUUAUAUGGGAAUAAAGUGGUCCACGUGUGGAUUUUUGUAUGUACCAUAUGAAUAAGGAUCGGCUAACUCCGUGCCAGCAGCCGCGGUAAUACGGAGGAUCCGAGCGUUAUCCGGAUUUAUUGGGUUUAAAGGGAGCGUAGGCGGAUUGUUAAGUCAGUUGUGAAAGUUUGCGGCUCAACCGUAAAAUUGCAGUUGAUACUGGCAGUCUUGAGUGCAGUAGAGGUGGGCGGAAUUCGUGGUGUAGCGGUGAAAUGCUUAGAUAUCACGAAGAACUCCGAUUGCGAAGGCAGCUCACUGGAGUGUAACUGACGCUGAUGCUCGAAAGUGUGGGUAUCAAACAGGAUUAGAUACCCUGGUAGUCCACACAGUAAACGAUGAAUACUCGCUGUUUGCGAUAUACAGUAAGCGGCCAAGCGAAAGCAUUAAGUAUUCCACCUGGGGAG
rnacentral:rRNA from 1 species